rnacentral:rRNA from 1 species
AGUGAACGCUGGCGGUAGGCCUAACACAUGCAAGUCGAACGGCAGCACAGUAAGAGCUCGCUCUUACGGGUGGCGAGUGGCGGACGGGUGAGGAUUACAUCGGAAUCUUCUUUUUCGUGGGGGAUAACGUAGGGACACUUACGCUAAUACCGCAUACGUCCUACGGGUGAAAGCAGGAGAUCUUGGGACUUUUCGCGAUUGAUUGAGCCGAUGUCGGAUUGGCUAGUUGGCGGGGUAAAGGCCCACCAAGGCGACGAUACGUAGCUGGUCUGAGAGGAUGAUCAGCCACACUGGAACUGAGACACGGUCCAGACUCCUACGGGAGGCAGCAGUGGGGAAUAUUGGACAAUGGGCGCAAGCCUGAUCCAGCCAUACCGCGUGGGUGAAGAAGGCCUUCGGGUUGUAAAGCCCUUUUGUUGGGAAAGAAAAGCAGCAGGUUAAUACCCCGCUGUUCUGACGGUACCCAAAGAAUAAGCACCGGCUAACUUCGUG